rnacentral:rRNA from 1 species
AUUGAACGCUGGCGGCAUGCCUUACACAUGCAAGUCGAACGGCAGCACGGGGCAACCUGGUGGCGAGUGGCGAACGGGUGAGUAAUGCAUCGGAACGUGCCAUUGAGUGGGGGAUAACGUAGCGAAAGUUGCGCUAAUACCGCAUAUUCUGUGAGCAGGAAAGCAGGGGACCGCAAGGCCUUGCGCUCUUUGAGCGGCCGAUGUCAGAUUAGCUAGUUGGUGAGGUAACGGCUUACCAAGGCGACGAUCUGUAGCGGGUCUGAGAGGAUGAUCCGCCACACUGGAACUGAGACACGGUCCAGACUCCUACGGGAGGCAGCAGUGGGAAUUUUGGACAAUGGGCGCAAGCCUGAUCCAGCCAUGCCGCGUGAGUGAAGAAGGCCUUCGGUUGUAAG